UCCGGGUUGGACCCGGCGGUCCCGCCAGACAUCGUAACUGGCGGCGAGGGUUGCGCUCGUUGCGGGACUUAACCCAACACCUCACGGCACGAGCUGACGACAGCCGUGCAGCACCUGUGCACGCUCCCUUGCGGGUCCUCGGUGUCUCCACCUCGUACCACGUGCAUGUCAAGCCUGGGUAAGGUUCUUCGCGUUGCGUCGAAUUAAACCACACGCUCCGCUGCUUGUGCGGGCCCCCGUCAAUUCCUUUGAGUUUUAGCCUUGCGGCCGUAGUCCCCAGGCGGGGCACUUAUCGCGUUUGCUUCGGCACCGGGGGGGUCGAUACCCCCGACACCUAGUGCCCAUCGUUUACGGCGUGGACUAC
rnacentral:misc_RNA from 1 species